UCCAGUCCCUAGACUUCCUGGCGCUGACGGAAACAUGGAUCACCACAGAUAACACUGCUACUCCUACUGCUCUCUCCUCGUCUGACUACGUGUUCUCGCAUACCCCUAGAGCAUCGAGCCAGCGGGGUGGUGGCACUGGAAUCCUCAUCUCUCCCAAGUGGACAUUCUCUCUUUCUCCCCUGACCCAUCUGUCUAUCUCCUCAUUUGAAUUCCAUGCUGUCACAGUUACCAGCCCUUUCAAGCUUAACAUCCUUAUCAUUUAUCGCCCUCCAGGUUCCCUUGGAGAGUUCAUCAAUGAGCUUGACGCCUUGAUAAGUUCCUUUCCUGAGGAUGGCUCACCUCUCACAGUUCUGGACCAUUUCCGGAGACCUUCUCCCCUACCUCACCUCGCUCAUCAACGCAUCCUUGACCGCUGGCUACGUCCCUUCCGUCUUCAAGAGAGCGAGAGUUGCACCCCUUCUGAAAAAACCUACACUCGACCCCUCCGAUGUCAACAACUACAGACCUAUCUGCUGCCUUUGAUACCGUGAACCAUCAGAUCCUCCUCUCCACCCUCUCCGAGCUGGGCAUCUCUGGCACCGCGCACGCUUGGAUUGCGUCCUACCUGACAGGUCGCUCCUACCAGGUGGCGAAUCGCAUCUCUGCAUGUCUGGCAGACAUAUCAGUGUGGAUGACGGAUCACCACCUCAAGCUGAACCUCGGCAAGACGGAGCUGCUCUUCCUCCCGGGGAAGGACUGCCCGUUCCAUGAUCUCGCCAUCACGGUUGACAACUCCCUUGUGUCCUCCUCCCAGAGUGCUAAGAGCCUUGGCGUGACCCUGGACAACACCCUGUCGUUCUCCACCAACAUCAAGGCGGUGACCCGAUCCUGCAGGUUCAUGCUCUACAACAUUCGCAGAGUACGACCCUGCCUCACACAGGAAGCGGCGCAGGUCCUAAUCCAGG
rnacentral:lncRNA from 1 species